GUGAAAGACUGGGAGUCAUGACAUAUUAUGGUUUCGUUAUUUAUGAAAACAAUGUGUGGUGUGUUAUCCAAAGGGCAAUUGUGUGAAAGUGGCUAAGUGAGAAAGGAUUAGCCUGGCAAACCGUCCUAUAUGUAAAUAUGAUUUCUGGCCACGACCCACAGACAGAUCUUAGUCGUAAGGAAGAAUCUACAGUUGUGUUUCAAACUGUCUCUGCACGCUAUUGGACAGUGCUAGGACAAGCCAGAGCAACAAACUAUGUGACAUACUCACUGCUACAGAAGUAAAAAGACGGAGCAGUCCGCCUUACACUGACGGCAGGCCCGGAGUGGCUAAUCGGGAGGGUCUGGAGAAUUCCCGGUGGGCCGCGCGAUGUUUGGACCGCAUGGGCCGGUGCUCUCGUUUUUGUUUUUUAUCAUUUUAUUUUUAUUUUUUGGUGCCGGUGUUCAGUCAUGGCACUGAGGCCGCCGGGCUGAUCUCAUACGCUCCUCCCGGCUGUCUCUACCUGCAGGCUGCAGCUCGGUUUUUUUUUCUUUUUCCCCUAUAUGUGCCUGUGCGCACCACGUGACCACGCAGUUGACGGAAAGAUGGAAAGUAGAAAGAGCAAGGGUGGUGCGGAGAAGGCAAGAAUUAAAAAGAGGAAAGCGCUGGAAACAGAUGCAGCUAAAUGUGCAAAAAUGAGCACUUUUUUUUCUCAAACAAGCUUGCAGUCUUUAACUUCAAAUGAAGAUAAAACGGCCCACAAGAUCCAGUAGGCCUAAUAAGCACCAGGCAGAAGCCCAGAAUUCCAGAGCGGACAUGUACAGUGUCAGAAGAAGAGCCAGGAGCCAGCAGUGAGGGUAUUGCUCCUGUUGGGAUAGAAGUAGUGUCCCUGCUACCAUCUCCUAUGAUCGCCAGACUCUUUUGUCCUUCUGUUCGUUCACGAUCGCCCAAGAUGCUCCGAGGACAUACCAUCCUGUUUGUUUACCUGAGUGGCGCACUGGCCCGGAGCC